GUCGAUACUGUGGUGCAUCUGGGUAGCUCAAAACAAUGCAAUAUUCAAAGGCCAUGUUCCAAAAUAAAGAAUACUGCCGAAUCAGCCCAAAUCUUACAAGAAAACUUCGAAAAAUCAGGCCUGGCAAUUUGGGAAAAACAAGGAAUCAUUAGCUUCUCUUACCUGGGCAGCACUAGAGAAAGGCAAACUCAAAAUUAACGUUGAUGGUGCUCUCGAGGAGGACACGAUGGACGGCACUGCAGCGUGCAUAUGUGGGGACUUCACCGGGAGCCUCGUUGCCAGGCACACCAGGUCGGUCAAAGCCUCCACUCC
rnacentral:lncRNA from 1 species